rnacentral:sRNA from 1 species
AUCGAGAGGGACUCCGGAGAAGGAAGGCUGCUCCGCGCACCGGCGCGCCCUUCUCCUCUCCCCUCCCUACCUCCCCCUCUCUUCCCCCUUUUUUCCCCCGCCUCCCGUCUUCUUCCGCGCCUCCGAGGGUCCGCCUCUGCCUCGGGGACCCCCGGGCGGGCCGGGGCUUGGCCGCCGAGGUGCGCCCCGGCCGGAGGGGCCCCCGCACCUCGGCGGCCGCCCCCUCCGGCGCCGCGCGUUCGCGAAAGGCGCGAAAGGGGCCCCCGGAGGCUUUUUUCGAUUCCCGGCCGGGGGUCCCGGGUAGCCGCCCGGCGCCGGGCGGAAGGCGUCCCCCGCCCGGCGGUCCGGCCCGGGCCCCCGGCGGAGCGCGGGGGCCCCGGGGCCCCGGGCCGCGCCGGCGGCGUUUCCGCGUUCCGUUUCUUCUCCCUCCCGGCCGCCCCGCUCCCGGGCCCGACCCUCGCCCCUUCCCUUCUCCUCGUCUUCCCCCGUCCCGCCGCGCCCCUUCCCUCUUCCUUCUCUCUCUCUGUCUCGCUCUCCUCACAUUUCCCCCCCCCCCCCGCCGCCGCCGCCCUCUGCCCGCGUCCCACCGAGACGCCGCGCCGCGUGAGCCGUCCGCCGGGGGACCCAGGCUCCGGGGGGGGGGGGCGCCUGCGUGUGUCUCGUGUGAGAGAGCGCGCCCCUCGAACGCCGCGCGUUCUCGCAGCGCCGGACGCGGACGCGACGCUCCCACCAGCCCCGCCCGCAGAGGAAGAGGCGGAGGAGGAGGAGGAGGAAGAGGAGGCGGCGGAGGAGGAAGAGGCGGCGGAGGAGGAAGAGGAGGCGGCGGAGGAGGAAGAGGAGGCGGCGGAGGAGGAAGAGGAGGCGGCGGAGGAGGAAGAGGAGGCGGCGGCGGCGACCGCGGCCUGGGACGACGGAGACGCCGACGGGGGCGCGGCGCCCGCGGACGCCGGGGCGAGCGGCCCGUGGCCGCGGUCGCCCGAGUCCGAGUCCGGGGCCCGGCGCGGCGCCGCCCUCUUGGCCCCCACCCCCUGGGGGGCGAGGGGCGAGCGCGGGGCGGCGGAGGAAGAGGCGGAGGACGAGGCCGCAGGGCCCGAGUCCGACCCGCGCCUCUUCCGGGGGCGGGCCGCCGCCCCCUCCGCGGCGUGGGGGGCGGCACCGGGGGUGUUGGUGCCGCGGGGGACCCCGGGUCCUCCCUCCGCGCCCGGCCCUCCCGACCCGCGCGCGUCGGUCGCGCCUGCCCGGCCCAGACUCUGUGCUUGGGUGUCGGUCUGAGCCUGGGUCAUGCGCGACCGGGGCGCGCGGUGCGCGUCCACCGGCACGGCGGGCGGCGCGGGCCCGGCCGCGUCCGCGCUCGCAGACACCACGGGGGCGGCGGCGGCGCGGGGCGGACUCCGGACGCGCGGGGCGACGGCCGCGCGGGGGCGCGCCGCGCGCCCCGACGACUGUGGCAGACCUCCCCCCCCGGGGCCCGAGGACACCUGCGCGGAGGAGGAGGAGAAAAAGGAGAGCGGCCCGGGGCCCGCGGGGCGGCGCGGAGACGGCGGGGGAGAGUCGCUGAUGACUAUGGGGGGCUCCUGGGCCGCGCGGGGCUGUCCCGCGGGGGGCGUCCUGCCCUCCGCCGCCGCGGCGUCUUCGCCCACCCGCCGCGCCUGCGCGCGCCCCCCGCCGGCCGCAGGGGGAAGAGAGGCCACUCUCGGCACGACGGCCGCGACGGCAGGGCCGCCCCCAGACCCAGAUCCCACCCCCGCCCGCAACGGGGCGCCGCCGCUGCUGCUGCUCCGCGGGGCGCCAGGGGGCGCCGGUCGGGUCGCGGCGGGCUGGGAGGUUCCGCGGGUCGCCCCCGCACCGCCGCCCCCGCGCCGGGGCGCUCUUCGGGGGGCGGGCGGGACGUAGUCCACUGCAGAGGGAGACAGAGACGGGAGCCCCCGGUUAGUGCCCGACCCCCGCCCGACCCCCGCCCGACCCCCGCCCGACCCCCGCCCGACCCCCGCCCGACCCCCGCCCGACCCCCGCCCGACCCCCGCCCGACCCCCGCCCGACCCCCGCCCGACCCCCGCCCGACCCCCGCCCGCCCUCACCGUCGGCCAGGUCAUCGUCCUCGUCGUCCGUGCCGGGCCACGGGGGGGUGGGCGACAGGGCGCGGACCGUGUGUCCCCCCAGCGACAGGGAGCGCGGGGCCGUCCGCUGGUUGCCCGUCCAGAUAAAGUCCACGGCCGUGCCGGCCCGCACGGCCGCCUCGGCCUCCACGCGGGUCCGGGGGUCGUUCACUAUCGGGAUGGUGCUGAACGACCCGCUGGCGGUCACGCCCACUAUCAGGUACGCCACCGGGGUGUUGCACAGGGGACACGUGUUGCGCAACGGAAUCCAGGUCUUCAUGCACGGGAUGCAGAAGGGGUGCAGGCAGGGAAAACUCUGGCAGCGCAGGGGCGGGGCGAUCUCGUCCGUGCACACGGCGCACACGUCGCCCCCCCCUCCCGCUUCCGCUUCCUCCUCACCCACGGGCCCACCCCCGCAGGAUCCCUGCGCGUCGGCGGGCGUGGGGCUGCCCUGGCGCUCGGCCGGGGGCCGGGCCGGGGGCGUGGCCGCGUCCAUCAGGCCCGCCUCGAACAUCUCCGUGUCCGUGCUGCCCGCCUCGGAGGUGGAGUCGCGGUGAAGGUCGUCGUCAGAGAUUCCCACCUCGGUCUCCUCCUCCGAGUCGCUGCUGGCGAGCCACUGCAUGUCGUUGAGCAUCCCCCAGGCGUGCGGGGCGGCGGGCUGCUUGACAAAGCAACGGGGGGGAUUUAGAGGGCGCGGGGCGUGAGGCGGGACCCCCGCGCCGUGUCCCCCGUGUCCCUCCCUCACCCCGGCCCCCCGCCCGCUGCUUUUUGUUCGGAAGGGGGGGAGAAAGGGGUCCGUAACCAAAGGUGGUCUGCGUCCUUUGGAUUCCGACCCCUCGUCUCCCCCCCUGUCCCCCGCUCUCGGGCUCCUCCCUGCCUCCCUCGCCCCCCCAGAGGGUCGGGGGGCGGCGCACGGCCCACGGGGGUCCCCCGACCGCUUAAGCGGGCCGGGGGUCGGCCCCGUCAAGCGUCCCCGCCCCCGAGCCCACCGCCCGCGACCACCCCCAACCCGCAGCCGGGUGGUCCGGGGAAAAGGGGGGGCCUGAGACCCGGGGGUCGCCCUCUCACCGUGCCGGGGGUCUGCCGCGGCGGCCGCUCGGGGCCGGGGUCCGCCCGGGAGCUCGUGCCGGGCCGGGGUUCCAUGAGCCGGGGUAGGGUAGACUCGAGACGGCGGCCCGCGGUCUCUCUCUUGCCGGGUUUUAGUCUCUGUCUCUCCGGGUCUCCUCCUCCCGCCGGGCCGCCGCUCCGUCGCUCGCAGUGCCGGGGUGCGAAUGCGGCCCGACCGUCACACGGGGCUGCCUUAUACCCGGCGCCUAUCCACUCCCCCAAAGGGGCGGCAUUUACGAUUCCCCCAAUAGCCGCGCGCCCCGGCGGGGGCGGAGGGAGGGAAUCCCCCCCUCUCGGGGCGGCCCCGUCCCCGGGGACCAACCGGGUGUACUCCAAGAACCCCAUUAGCAUGCGCCGCCCCCCGCCGACGCAGAUGGGAGUCCCCCCGGCGCCCCGCCGGCGCGGCCCUGAGUGGUGCCCGCCCCCGGGGAGAAAUUCAUUAGCAUACUAGGAAGCCCAGGGGACCAAUAGGGGCCGAUCAGCCCACCCACCCGGCGGCGCGCGAGGCUCUGCGUGUUCUGCCAAGAAAGUAAUCAGCAUAACCCGGAACCCCGAGGGAGUAAUUACGCGGGGAGCGAGGGGCCGUCCGAACGUUUUUAAUUACCAUAAGCGGGAAUGGCGGCCCGUUAAAAGCUGCUAAUUACCGCGAGCGGGAACGCCGGCCCAUUAAAAGUUGCUAAUUACCAUGCGCGGGGAUGGCGGCCGGGACCGCCUAUUAAAAGUUUCUAAUUACCAUACCGGGAAGCCGGCGCGGGGCGGUCGCCGGGGCGGAGUCCGGGCCCGCGCGGCGGCGCGCGGUUGGCCGGCGCCGCCCCCUGGGGCGGGCGGAGCGGCGGGGCGGCGCCGGGCCCUCGCGGAUAUAUACGCGGGGCUCCCAUCGUCUCUUCGGAGAGCGGCCUCGCGCAGACCUUCGGAGCUCCGGGGCUCCGCCGGCCGAGGCCGCCCUCGCCGGUUCAACCCUAGACCGCCCGACGGCCCGGGCCCGCGGCGGCGGAGGACCCGCGCGCCGCCGCCGCCGCCUCCUCCUCCUCCGCGGGUCCGCCGUCUUCGUGGGCCCGGGCUCGGGCUCGGGCCCGAGCUCGGGCCUCGGGCUCCAGGCACGGUCCGAUGACCGCCUCGGCCGCCGCCACGCGGCGCCGGAACCGGUCGCGGUCGGCCCGCUCGCGCGCCCAGGACCCCCGUCGGGCCAGGCGCGCGGCCGUCUCCCAGGCCACCAGAUGGCGCACCUGCACGCGCGGCGAGAAGCACACCUGCGGGCGGGGAGACACGGGGGUCGGAGGGGCGUCAGGGGGUCGGAGGGGCGUCAGGGGGUCGGAGGGGCGUCAGGGGGUCGGAGGGGCGUCAGGGGGUCGGAGGGGCGUCAGGGGGUCGGAGGGGCGUCAGGGGGUCGGAGGGGAGGCGUACCUUCCCGCGCGGCGCGUCCGCGGGCGGGGACGCGGGGGGCCGCCGCCGGCGCAGGCUCAGGCGCGCCAGGUACUCCGUCGUGGUGCGCAGCCGUAGCGCCAGGUGGGGCGGAAGGGGGCGCUGCGGCCCGCGCUCCUUGCGCGGCGGCGGCGGGGGGCAGGCGGCGGCAGGCGCGGCGUGCGGGGCCUCCGGCGCCUUCCCCCCGCCCUCGCUCGGGGGGCUGUUCGCCCACUCUGCGUCGUCGUUGCCGGCGUAGUCCGCGUCGUCGCUGUCGUCCGCCUGGGGCACCAGCAGCCAGCGCCGCAGGAGCGAGGACGCGGCCGGCGCGCUCUCGACCGCGGUUCCCGAGUCGUACGCAGGGACCAUUUGGGAGUCUGCGGUUGGGAGCGCGCCGGGGCGCGGCACGGCUGGAGCGCCGGGGCGCGGCACGGCUGGAGCGCCGGGGCGCGGCCGGCGCCGGGGACCCCGGCGGCGGGGACCCCGGCGGCGGGACAUGGCGGGCGGCUGGGCUCGGCGUAGGCCCGGAGCCGGAGCGCGUCGGGGCGGGAGAGUUCACUCGGCACGCAUGCACGUGUAACCGCCAGUCCGUGCUUGCCUAGCGAACUCACCCGUCCCGGCUGGCGUGCGCAGCCCGGGCCGUGUUGCGGGCCCUCUUAAGGGGCGGCGGCAGGACGGGGACUCCCGCCCCGCCUCUUUUCCCCCGGGGAGUCAACCCCCGGGGGGGGUGUUUUUUGGGGGGGGGCGCGAAGGCGGGCGGCGGCGGCGGGCGGGCGGCAGGGCAGCCCCGCGCGCCCCCUUCCCCGUCCCUCCCCCGGAGCCGGCCGCUCCCCCGCGGGCGCCGCCCCUCCCCCCGCGCGCCGCGGGGCUGCCUUCCCGCGGGCGCCCCCGCGCGGCUUUUUUCCCGCGCCCGCCCCCGCGCGGCAAGACGGGGACUAGCAGGCUGUGCCGCAGACCACCACACACUCCCAAGCUCCCCGCCCCCCCGAAGACGCCAGUCGCACCACCGCUCGCCCUCGCAGACCAGACAGUUGCACCAAGCACCCGCCCGCCCGCACACGGUUCCCCGCCACCCCCUCCCUCCCCUCCAUCCCGCCGAGCUCGCGGCAGCCCCUCCCCCCCGCGCGCCACGGGGCUGCGGUCCCGCGGCCGCCUCCCCCGCGGCCGCCUCCCCCGCGCCCCGCCCCGGGGGCUUCCCCCGCCCCUCCCCCCGCGCCCGCGGCCCCGAGCUCGCAGCAGCCCCUCCCUCCCGCGCCCCGUGCCUUCCCUCCCGCUCCUGCGGGGGGGCUCGGGCCACCUGACCUUCGUAACCUGCACUCAGGUCAGAGCCCCAGACCCCCCGCGGGCGCGGGAGACGUGCCGCCCACCCGACCCCCGCCCGCCCGACCCCCGCCCGCCCGACCCCCGCCCGCCCGACCCCCGCCCGCCCGACCCCCGCCCGCCCGACCCCCGCCCGCCCGACCCCCGCCCGCCCGACCCCCGCCCGCCCGACCCCCGCCCGCCCGACCCCCGCCCGCCCGACCCCCGCCCGCCCGACCCCCGCCCGCCCGACCCCCGCCCGCCCGACCCCCGCCCGCCCGACCCCCGCCCGCCCGACCCCCGAAUAAA